UACGUAGGGGGGCAAGCGUUGUCCGGAAUCAUUGGGCGUAAAGCGCGUGUAGGCGGCUCGGUAAGUCCGCUCUGAAAGUCCAGGGCUCAACCCUGGGAUGCGGGUGGAUACUGCCGGGCUCGAGUCCGGAAGAGGCGAGUGGAAUUCCCGGUGUAGCGGUGAAAUGCGCAGAUAUCGGGGAGGAACACCAAUGGCGAAGGCAGCUCGCUGGGACGUGACUGACGCUGAGACGCGAAAGCGUGGGGAGCAAACAGG
rnacentral:rRNA from 1 species